UACGUAGGGUGCGAGCGUUGUCCGGAAUUACUGGGCGUAAAGAGCUCGUAGGCGGUCUGUCGCGUCUGCUGUGAAAAUCCGGGGCUCAACCCCGGACUUGCAGUGGGUACGGGCAGACUAGAGUGUGGUAGGGGAGACUGGAAUUCCUGGUGUAGCGGUGAAAUGCGCAGAUAUCAGGAGGAACACCGAUGGCGAAGGCAGGUCUCUGGGCCACUACUGACGCUGAGAAGCGAAAGCAUGGGGAGCGAACAGG
rnacentral:rRNA from 1 species